CGAGACCCGCCUCUAAAGCAAUAAUAAUAGUGAAAAAUUUUUAAAUAAAUAAAAAAGAAAAAUUCUCACUCUUUAGCUAUUGAAUUUUGUGGCGGUGAUUUCUUCAGAAACUGCCUCUUCCCACCCCCACUCCACCCACAGAGAGGAUGAGCUACAUCCGUACAGAGCCUGGCACUCCGGAUGCUGGCGGAAUUGAUUCAGUAGCAUGAGCAGGAAGGUCCAUUUGAAGAGAUCACUCCAAAACAGCGGUUCGCAACAAGAAUGGUUCAUGCAGGACAGAAAAAGGAGAGACAAAGGACUGUCAGGAGAGUGACUGGUCCAAAUGAGGACUCAGGAACCCCCAGUGGAUCCAGAGAGAAAAACACUCUGGGGCUUUCUUCCAUGUCCCGUUGGCCAGAGCAGACCCUGGAAAGAAGCCCUCCCCAAG